UAGGGAAUCUUCCGCAAUGGGCGAAAGCCUGACGGAGCAACGCCGCGUGAGUGAUGAAGGUCUUCGGAUCGUAAAACUCUGUUAUUAGGGAAGAACAAAUGUGUAAGUAACUAUGCACGUCUUGACGGUACCUAAUCAGAAAGCCACGGCUAACUACGUGCCAGCAGCCGCGGUAAUACGUAGGUGGCAAGCGUUAUCCGGAAUUAUUGGGCGUAAAGCGAGCGCAGGCGGUCAAUUAAGUCUGAUGUGAAAGCCCCCGGCUCAACCGGGGAGGGUCAUUGGAAACUGGUUGACUUGAGUGCAGAAGAGGAGAGUGGAAUUCCAUGUGUAGCGGUGAAAUGCGUAGAUAUAUGGAGGAACACCAGUGGCGAAGGCGACUCUCUGGUCUGUAACUGACGCUGAGGUUCGAAAGCGUGGGUAGCAAACAGG
rnacentral:rRNA from 1 species